rnacentral:rRNA from 1 species
CCCAACUAUCCUAUUAAUCAUUACGUCAAUCCUAGAAACCAACAAAAUAGGAUUGAACGUCCUAUUUCAUUAUUCCAUGUUAAUGUAUUCAAGCCUAAGCCUGCUUUAAACACUCUAAUUUUUUCAAAGUAACAGUCCUGAUUCCCCGCAACACCAAAUUAAUGACAUUGCGGUUCCUCAAAAGGGAGGAACCAACAAAACCAGUACAUACCAAAGGCACGACCAGCCUACUGACCCCGAAAUUCAACUAC